CCAAUAUGUGGCACAGAUCAGAAAACUUACAGUAAUGAAUGCACAUUGUGCAUGGUAAACCAAGAUCAAGAAUUUCAACCCAGGAAGCUUCAUGAAGGUGAAUGUAUUCAGUGUACCGGGUAUUCUGAGGUGUGUACCAUGGACUACAAACCUCACUGUGGAUCCGAUGGAAAUGUAUAUUCCAACAGAUGUAUCUUUUGCAAUGCUGUUGUGAGGAGCCAAGGUGCAAUUCGGUUGAAAAAUUAUGGAUUGUGCUGAAUCUCCCUGAUGCUUAAGG